AGAGUUUGAUCCUGGCUCAGGACGAACGCUGGCGGCGUGCCUAACACAUGCAAGUCGAGCGGAGACAGUGAGUAGCUUGCUAUGAGCUGUUUUAGCGGCGGACGGGUGAGUAACGCGUGAGCAACCUUUCCCAGACAGGGGAAUAACACACCGAAAGGUGUACUAAUACCGCAUAAGACCACGGGAUCACAUGGUUCUGAGGUAAAAGAUUUAUCGGUUUGGGGUGGGCUCGCGUCCGAUUAGGUAGUUGGUGAGGUAACGGCCCACCAAGCCGACGAUCGGUAGCCGACCUGAGAGGGUGAUCGGCCACAUUGGGACUGAGACACGGCCCAAACUCCUACGGGAGGCAGCAGUGGGGAAUAUUGGGCAAUGGGGGGAACCCUGACCCAGCAACGCCGCGUGGAGGAAGAAGGUUUUCGGAUCGUAAACUCCUGUCCUUGGAGACGAGUAGAAGACGGUAUCCAAGGAGGAAGCCCCGGCUAACUACGUGCCAGCAGCCGCGGUAAUACGUAGGGGGCAAGCGUUGUCCGGAAUAAUUGGGCGUAAAGGGCGCGUAGGCGGCUCGGUAAGUCUGGAGUGAAAGUCCUGCUUUUAAGGUGGGAAUUGCUUUGGAUACUGUCGGGCUUGAGUGCAGGAGAGGUUAGUGGAAUUCCCAGUGUAGCGGUGAAAUGCGUAGAGAUUGGGAGGAACACCAGUGGCGAAGGCGACUAACUGGACUGUAACUGACGCUGAGGCGCGAAAGUGUGGGGAGCAAACAGGAUUAGAUACCCCUGUAGUCCUAUCCAACCACG
rnacentral:rRNA from 1 species